UAGCGUGGACAGAUAACUCUAAAAAUUAUGUCAGGGGUUAUUAGUUGCUUACACUGUCUAAAGAAGCUUUGAAGUUGGAUUUCAUGACUUAGUACACACACGCCAAUGUUAGACACCAUGAAGACAAGGAUGGCCAAGGCAUGAAAGGAACAACAAAUGAAUCAUCAAUACACCAAAGAUAAUAUUAAAUAAAAAAGUUUAAUGGCUGAAACUCACAAAGAAGACUGAAGGAUUCAGUAAACAAAGUAUCUGGUGAAAACACUCCAGCAAAUCAUUAUCAGUUUGCGUUACUGAAUAAAAACAUGAACAGCUAAAAGUUGAGC
rnacentral:lncRNA from 1 species